UUGAACGCUGGCGGCAGGCCUAACACAUGCAAGUCGAACGGUAACAGGAAACAGCUUGCUGUUUCGCUGACGAGUGGCGGACGGGUGAGUAAUGUCUGGGAAACUGCCUGAUGGAGGGGGAUAACUACUGGAAACGGUAGCUAAUACCGCAUAACGUCGCAAGACCAAAGAGGGGGACCUUCGGGCCUCUUGCCAUCGGACGUGCCCAGAUGGGAUUAGCUAGUAGGUGGGGUAACGGCUCACCUAGGCGACGAUCCCUAGCUGGUCUGAGAGGAUGACCAGCCACACUGGAACUGAGACACGGUCCAGACUCCUACGGGAGGCAGCAGUGGGGAAUAUUGCACAAUGGGCGCAAGCCUGAUGCAGCCAUGCCGCGUGUAUGAAGAAGGCCUUCGGGUUGUAAAGUACUUUCAGCGGGGAUGAAGGGAGUAAAGUUAAUACCUUUGCUCAUUGACGUUACCCGCAGAAGAAGCACCGGCUAACUCCGUG
rnacentral:rRNA from 1 species